rnacentral:snRNA from 1 species
UGUAAGGGUGCUCUGGCUGCAACAGCUGUCACUCCAUUGAUGCCAUGAUUGAUUUGAGUGGUCUGAUUGGUGAGGAGGGUGUCCCCUUCUUCCCUUACUGCUACAUGUUUGUGUCUUUCCCAAAGCGACAUGCUGGGUUGAAGAAGAUGGUCUUUCUGAUAGAGAAGGGUUGGUCUUGGGUCGGAUGUGCAAGAAGCUGUCCUCUGCUGCUAGAGCCUCCAAACAAACUCUCAAUAAAGCCACCCAACAUCAACUUCUGGCCUCCAUACAUAUGCAACAUAUGCACAUGCACCCACAUAUGUGUGC